GGGCACGAUAGCAAUGAGGUGCCUGUUGUCUCAGCUACUUGGGAGGCUAAGUCCAGAGGAUCACUUGAGCCCAGGAGUUCCAGACUGUAGUGAACUAUGCCAAUCAGGUGUCUGCACUAAAUUCAGUAUCAAUAUGGUGACCUUCAGGCAGUGGGGACCACCAGGUUGCCACAGGAGGGGUGAAUUGGCUUAGGUCUGAAAUGGAGCAGAUCAAAACUCCUGUGCUGAUCAGUAGUGGGAUCGUGCCUGUGAAAAGCCACUGCACUCCAGCCUGGGCAACAUAGCAAGACUCUGCCUCAA
ensembl:misc_RNA Metazoa_SRP Metazoan signal recognition particle RNA